rnacentral:pre_miRNA from 14 species
GCUCUGCUCGUCCUCUCUAAUCCUUUGUCCCUGGGUGAAAAUGCUAUUUGUAUGCAAUGCACCCGGGCAAGGAUUUGGGGAAGGUAAGCC